GAUGAACGCUGGCGGCGUGCCUAAUACAUGCAAGUCGAGCGAACAGACGAGGAGCUUGCUCCUCUGACGUUAGCGGCGGACGGGUGAGUAACACGUGGAUAACCUACCUAUAAGACUGGGAUAACUUCGGGAAACCGGAGCUAAUACCGGAUAAUAUAUUGAACCGCACGGUUCAAUAGUGAAAGACGGUUUUGCUGUCACUUAUAGAUGGAUCCGCGCCGCAUUAGCUAGUUGGUAAGGUAACGGCUUACCAAGGCAACGAUGCGUAGCCGACCGGAGAGGGGGGUCGGCCACACUGGAACUGAGACGCGGUCCAGGCUCCUACGGGAGGCAGCAGUAGGGAAUCUUCCGCAAUGGGCGAAAGCCUGACGGAGCAACGCCGCGUGAGUGAUGAAGGUCUUCGGAUCGUAAAGCUCUGUUAUUAGGGAAGAACAAAUGUGUAAGUAACUAUGCACGUCUUGACGGUACCUGAUCAGAAAGCCACGGCUAACUACGUG
rnacentral:rRNA from 1 species